GCGGGACACGUGGUAUCCUGUCUGAAUAUGGGGGGACCAUCCUCCAAGGCUAAAUACUCCUGACUGACCGAUAGUGAACCAGUACCGUGAGGGAAAGGCGAAAAGAACCCCGGCGAGGGGAGUGAAAAAGAACCUGAAACCGUGUACGUACAAGCAGUGGGAGCCUCUUAAUGGGGUGACUGCGUACCUUUUGUAUAAUGGGUCAGCGACUUAUAUUCUGUAGCAAGGUUAACCGAAUAGGGGAGCCGAAGGG
rnacentral:rRNA from 1 species